CUUGCACAUCGCUGACGAGUGGCGGACGGGUGAGUAAUGCUUGGGAACUUGCCUUUGCGAGGGGGAUAACAGUUGGAAACGACUGCUAAUACCGCAUAAUGUCUACGGACCAAACGGGGCUUUUAGCUCCGGCGCAAAGAGAGGCCCAAGUGGGAUUAGCUAGUUGGUGAGGUAAAGGCUCACCAAGGCGACGAUCUCUAGCUGUUCUGAGAGGAAGAUCAGCCACACUGGGACUGAGACACGGCCCAGACUCCUACGGGAGGCAGCAGUGGGGAAUAUUGCACAAUGGGGGAAACCCUGAUGCAGCCAUGCCGCGUGUGUGAAGAAGGCCUUCGGGUUGUAAAGCACUUUCAGUUGUGAGGAAAGGUUGGUAGUUAAUACCUGCCAGCUGUGACGUUAACAACAGAAGAAGCACCGGCUAACUCCGUGCCAGCAGCCGCGGUAAUACGGAGGGUGCGAGCGUUAAUCGGAAUUACUGGGCGUAAAGCGCACGCAGGCGGUUUGUUAAGCUAGAUGUGAAAGCCCCGGGCUCAACCUGGGAUGGUCAUUUAGAACUGGCAGACUAGAGUCUUGGAGAGGGGAGUGGAAUUCCAGGUGUAGCGGUGAAAUGCGUAGAUAUCUGGAGGAACA
rnacentral:rRNA from 1 species